rnacentral:rRNA from 1 species
AUUGAACGCUGGCGGCAGGCCUAACACAUGCAAGUCGAGCGAGCGGCGGACGGGUGAGUAAUGUCUGGGAAACUGCCUGAUGGAGGGGGAUAACUACUGGAAACGGUAGCUAAUACCGCAUACCAUCAGAUGUGCCCAGAGGGGAUUAGCUAGUAGGUGGGGUAACGGCUCACCUAGGCGACGAUCCCUAGCUGGUCUGAGAGGAUGACCAGCCACAUUGGAACUGAGACACGGUCAAGACUCCUACGGGAGGAAGCAGUGGGGAAUAUUGAACAAUGGGCGCAAGCCUGAUGCAGCCAUGCGGCGGGUGUGAAGAAGGCCUGCGGGUUGUAAAGCACUUUAAGCGGGGAGGCGUUACCCGCAGAAGAAGCACCGGCUAACACCGUGCCAGCAGCCGCGGUAAUAC